UACGUAGGGUGCAAGCGUUGUCCGGAAUUAUUGGGCGUAAAGAGCUCGUAGGCGGUCUGUCGCGUCGGCUGUGAAAACCCGGGGCUCAACCCCGGGCCUGCAGUGGGUACGGGCAGACUAGAGUGCGGUAGGGGAGAUUGGAAUUCCUGGUGUAGCGGUGGAAUGCGCAGAUAUCAGGAGGAACACCAAUGGCGAAGGCAGAUCUCUGGGCCGUAACUGACGCUGAGGAGCGAAAGCAUGGGGAGCGAACAGG
rnacentral:rRNA from 1 species